UUUUUCCGGAUUUUCGCCUGCAGCAGUUAACGUAGCGGAGAGACUAAUUCAACUUUGGAGGGACUCAAAAUUUUGCAAGCAGUCCCGGUCUAGGUUUGGCAGUAUAGAAGCCUCGCCAUGGCCUCCUCCCAACUCCCAUCACUACAACUUCAGCUUCUCCCCCUGAUUUUUAAUGCACCAAGCGUGCAAGACUCGAGGCUCUGGAAAAAAGAUGUCCCGAAAGGCGAGCACUUGCCGUAUACCAACUCAGCUGCUCACGAUCCAACUCAUUCUGCUAGUUUUCUUGAUUGGUGGCAGCCUCCCCAGCACAGCAAGAGCUUAUCUUCUUGGUGUGAGGAGCGUACACUACCGCCCGAAUCCCCUUGAUAAAUCGGGAAACUUAAAUCCUCAUGGCGAACCAGAAACCGCUGGAGCAAAUCCUCGUGGUUCCCGAAGGGUCCCUUGGGACACAAGAAAUCACAAGCACAGAGGCUGAGAAGCGUGGACGCAGUGAGACAAAGGGAUUAGUUGAUGGGCGUGCUACUUGUACUUGUGAGCUAUGCAGCUUGUUAAACAAAGUUUAUAUGCAACUA